rnacentral:rRNA from 1 species
UGAGAAGAUUUGUAAGUAGAGGUGACAUGCCUAACGAGCCUGGUGAUAGCUGGUUGUCCAGAAAAUGAAUCUAAGUUCAGCUUUAAAGAUACCAAAAUUCAAAUGANACCCCACUGUAGCUUUAAAAGUUAGUCUAAAAAGGGUACAGCCUUUUAGAAACGGAUACACCUUGACUAGAGAGUAAAAUUUAACACUACCAUAGUAGGCCUAAAAGCAGCCAUCAAUUAAGAAAGCGUUAAAGCUCAACGACGAAAAUUAAAUAGAUUCCGACACAAUGAUUACUCCUAGCCCCAAUACUGGACUAAUCUAUUAUAGAAUAGAAGCAUAAUGUUAAUAUGAGUAACAAGAAAAAUUUUCUCCUUGCAUAAGUCUAAGUCAGUGCCUGAUAAUACUCUGACCACUACAGUCAAUAAAUAAUCCACAUAACAUUUAUUGAUUAUACUGUUAACCCA